rnacentral:lncRNA from 1 species
UGGGAGAGACUGGAGGAUUCUGUCAAUAAUAGCAUCAUCCGGAAGUUCGACUCCAAGUGAAGUCAGACGACCGUGUAACCCAGACAUUUUGAGUAUGUGCUCACUGACAGAACUGUUCUCCUCCAUCUUACAGCUGAAGAACUUGUCGGAGACUUCAUAUCUCUCGACACGGGCAUGAGCUUGAAAAACUAGCUUCAGCUCUUGGAACAUCUCAUAUGCACCGUCUUGCUCAAAACGUCUUUGGAGCCCCGUUUCUAAACUGUAUAACAUGCCACACCUGACCAGAGAGUAGUCAUCACUCCGCGCUUGCCAGACGUUUAGAACGUCCUGCGCUGCUGCGGGAGCAGGAGGGUCACCUAGCGGCGCAUUAAGGACAUAAGCCUUUUUAGCUGCUUCAAGGAUGAGCUUCAGGUUGCGAACCCAGUCCGCAUAGUUGCUACCAUCAUCUUUCAGCUUGUUUUUCUCUAGGAAUGCGUUGAA